rnacentral:rRNA from 1 species
UACGAAGGGGGCUAGCGUUGUUCGGAAUUACUGGGCGUAAAGCGCACGUAGGCGGAUCGAUCAGUCAGGGGUGAAAUCCCAGGGCUCAACCCUGGAACUGCCUUUGAUACUGUCGAUCUGGAGUAUGGAAGAGGUGAGUGGAAUUCCGAGUGUAGAGGUGAAAUUCGUAGAUAUUCGGAGGAACACCAGUGGCGAAGGCGGCUCACUGGUCCAUUACUGACGCUGAGGUGCGAGAGCGUGGGGAGCAAACAGG